rfam:Clostridium sp. KLE 1755 genomic scaffold Scaffold243, whole genome shotgun sequence.
UUUCCAGAUAGAGGUUGCGUGAUUCAAGAGUAGCUUUUCCGAUGUGACAGGCACAGUUGAGGAAGAGGGAAAGGGGAGAACGCCGAAAGAGAAAGGCUCCUGCGGCCGGAAUCUUGGGCAUAGGGUGAACAACCAUAUGACUGUCAUCUAUAACAGAUGGGGCGCUAUCAUAAAA